UACGGAGGGUGCGAGCGUUGUCCGGAAUCACUGGGCGUAAAGGGCGCGUAGGUGGCCCGUUAAGUGGUUGGUGAAAUCCCGGGGCUCAACUCCGGGGCUGCCUUCGAUACUGAGAGUCUUGAGUCCGGGAGAGGUGAGUGGAACUGCGAGUGUAGAGGUGAAAUUCGUAGAUAUUCGCAAGAACACCAGUGGCGAAGGCGGCUCACUGGCCCGGUACUGACGCUGAGGUGCGAAAGCGUGGGGAGCAAACAGG
rnacentral:rRNA from 1 species